AAAUUACCCUAGCUAAAAAACAUUCCAACAAUUAGGGCACAAACACGCCCCCUUUCUCUCCUCUCUAUCAGACUCCCACUUUCACUCCUCUUCGUGAGUUUUUUUCUUCAAAUACAAAAAAUUGGGCGUGAAUCUAGGGUUAAUGUCUGAAAAAUAGGAAGAAAACUUUCAAAAUUGCAAAAUUUUUGCUACGAAAAUUUGAAAUUCGAAGUCGUGUGUUUGCAAAAUUUUGAAAUUUGAAGUCGUGCGUUGAUUUUAGGGAUUGUAUGCCCUUGAAAAGGUAAGCUUCUUUGUGAUUUCAUUAUGUAUUGUAGAUCUGGGCGAGAAUCAUGUUCAUCCUGUCUUGUGCUUUAUUUUGCUUUGGAGCAACAAGCUGACCUCUCAGACCAUCAUCUUCUCUAUCUGUUUGAUGUUUAGUCCUGUUUAUUUAUAGCAGAGUUAGUAGUUUCAGUUAGGCCUGGAAAUCUGUUGGGUGGAGGUUGUAUGUCUUUUGCUGCUAAAGGAUGAAUGUUGGUUAAAGCAGUCACUCAUUUAUAAUAAUUUCUUAGAGGGAAAAUUACUCUGGCAUGCAUAUAGCAUCAACUAAUUCUGUGUUUGAAAUAGUGCUUAUGGACGGUCAAGUGCUGUUUAGACGAUUUGACAACAGUACUUAACAAAAAUACAUAAGCUACAUUGAAAAGCCACGAUGUUCAUUGUUCUUUCCUUUAUUUUCAUUUUGGGAGACUUAUCCCAUUGUGGAUGAUAUUUAUUGCUAAAAAAAAUCUGUGUUUGAAAUAGAGUAGUACAUAUAAUGGUGAAGAAAGGUCAUUUUGAGGCUAAUUGCGUGUAAUUUUGAGGUCUAAUGUUAGUACAUUACAUGUGUUGUGAGAAGAAUUGGAGGAGAUGGACUGGAAUCCCAGAGUUAAUUAAUGGAGUAUUAGAAGAAAGGACGAUUCAGUAGUUGAAUUUCUCCCUUCAAAGUCUAAUAUUUCGAGAAGAUGAACAUAUGAAUGUGCUAAUUAUUUAUUUUUUGCGUGAAAUAUUCAAAGUCUAAUAUUUCCAUAAUAGUUCAAUUUGUGAAGCAUACUUGAUGAUGGAAUCAAUACAAUUGUUUUCUCAUUAUUUUAAACCUCAUGUCAUGACACGUAAUCAUAAUGUGGCCCGUAAUGAUGAUGAUGGUGUUAUGGAAGAUCUUGAAAGAAAUUUAUCAAUAUUCACCCAUCUAGGCUGACUAUGGGGAGAAGGAAAAAAGAGAAGUUUGUCCCUCGAAGAAAUCAAGGCAUCCCAAACUUAUAUUCUACUAAAUUGUGUAGAGGUUGAGCCGUUUGUAAGUAUAUACAUACAACGGUUGCAAGAAGAAUUCCCCAAUCUAUAUCAGGAUCAAAUAAAUGAGAGUUUCGAAACGUAUUUUGCUAUAUGGUUCAAGGAAUAUGUUCGAUGCAACCACAUUGAGAACCAAUUCUUGCGUAGUCUUGCUCAUGGACCAUUAAUAAGCACAAAAUAUUAUCCGGUGGCUCACACGGGUGGCUCUAUCAGUGUUGGGGAGCAUCGCAAGAGACUUUGCAUACGGUCAAAAUCAGAGGCCUCCGAUUUACAGGAUCGAAGGUCCGUCAUAGGCUCGAGUUCAGGCCAGGUCGAGAUCGAGACCGGUGGACCAGAGUCAAGCUCGAAGACAAAGUGCAAUGCCUGGAGAUAGGAGUACGAGGAAUACCAGGCCCGAGUAUACUCGACCCCGAAAAGUACCGUUAGGAAUUUGUAAUAGAAUGAGCUAGAUUCCUACCACGUCCCCAUAAUCGUGGCGCAAAUCCCGGAAUAAAAUUGUACGAUUCCGUACUAGGCGGUUAGACAGUUGUAUUAAGAAUAUUUCCUACUGUAAAUGGAAAUAUUCCUUAUUUAGGGUUCUCUUAUUAUAUAAAGGGGGACACCAAUCAUUUGUAAGAUCAUUUGAUCAUUGAGCAAAGAAUAUACUCUCUAUCUUUUCGCCUACU